rnacentral:lncRNA from 1 species
ACCUUGAUGCAUUCUUUCUUACUGUCCUCAGUACACUGAGAUACGACCUUCAGUGUGAACAAGGAUGGGCUGGAAAUUGGACUGGGGCCACACCGUCAGGAGAUGCAGUAAUGGAAGAAGCGACUGUGCGAUUUACGCCUGUAUCUUCCACCCUCAAAUCUGAGGCAGUCACCGAAAUCUUGGCAAGCCACACCUUUCCACAAAACAACUUUGUGUGGAUAUUAAAGGCAGAGGAGACUGCAGAGGCCAGAGGACUUCAGGAGCAUCCGGGCAGCUGACCCUAGGUGGCAGUUACGCAGCUGACCCUAGGUGGCAGUUACGCAUAAUCACGAGUAGAGCUCAAAAAACGUAAUGAAAGGAAAAAAAAAAAAAGGAGGGAGGA